rnacentral:rRNA from 1 species
UGGGGAAUUUUGCACAAUGGGGGAAACCCUGAUGCAGCGACGCCGCGUGAUUUAGAAGGCCUUCGGGUUGUAAAAAUCUUUUUUACGGGAUGAAAAUGACAGUACCGUAAGAAUAAGGUCCGGCUAAAUACGUGCCAGCAGCCGCGGUAAUACGUAUGGACCGAGCGUUGUCCGGAAUCAUUGGGCGUAAAGGGUACGUAGGCGGCCUAGUAAGUUAGAAGUGAAAUAAUAUAGCUCAACUAUAUAAAGCUUUUAAAACUGCUAGGCUUGAGAGAUGGAAGGGAAAGUGGAAUUCCUAGUGUAGCGGUGAAAUGCGCAGAUAUUAGGAAGAAUACCGGUGGCGAAGGCGACUUUCUGGUCAUCAUCUGACGCUGAGGUACGAAAGCGUGGGUAGCAAGCAGG